AGUGACUGUGGUGAAAUUGGCCAACCGAUUGAAAUCUUUCCUGCUGUAGAAAUGGGCAGUACCUUAAAAGAACCUAAUGCUGUGAAAAUAGCUGAUUUUGCCAGUUAUGUUAAGAAAUUGCACGCUAACAGCAACCUGUUUUCAAAGGAGUAUAAGGUAUUAAAAGAGAACAGCCCAACUCACACAACUAAAGCUGCUGAACUUCAGGUGAACCGAAUCAAAAACAGAUAUUUAAACAUCCUAGCUUGUGAGUACAAUUUAUCCUUGUCUUUGAUUAAAA